rnacentral:rRNA from 2 species
CGAGAUGAGUUCUCCCUGACUCCUUGAGAGUCCUGAAGGAACGUUGAAGACGACGACGUUGAUAGGCCGGGUGUGUAAGCGCAGCGAUGCGUUGAGCUAACCGGUACUAAUGAACCGUGAGGCUUAACCUUACAACGCCGAAGGUGUUU